GCUUCCAAAAGUCCUAUGUCGAUGCAUUUACUAAAAUGUGCUGUUAAUGGUCUACUUUUAUUUUUUCUAGCACUCCUCUUGCUGAUGACACAAUUCCUCUGUGAAUCCGUUUACAAGAUUCUGAAAGCUGAACAGAGAAUUUUGGCACUGCACUGGGUAGGAAAAAGCCUUGCAAGAAAUAGAUAACAUCAAGGACAUCAGGAGAGGGAGAGAUUGGACUGGGAGACUCAGCAGGUCAGGACAUUUGCAUUAUCAUUUGCUGAUCAUUCUCUUGCCAUCAAUUUUAGAGUUCUCAAGUCUCUUGCCACUUGUUUGUCUCUUGGACGUGCUUGCUUGGUAUGUUCUCAGUUUUGCAAACCAUGACUAAC
rnacentral:lncRNA from 1 species